rnacentral:lncRNA from 12 species
AUGUUUCUUGAUUUUUACGGGUUUAUUUAUUUAUUUAUUUAUAAACAUUUAUUUUAAGAAGUUAUAAACAUUAUUUUUAAAAUUAAGUUUCGGGAAAGGAGUGUUUCCAUUGGUCACGUAAUUUAUAAUAACCAAUGGACAUAGAGGAAGAUUUUUUUUUUUUUUAACAGAGGAAGAAGACGUCAUCCUAUACAUAAAUUACUAAUAAACGCCAGCUGCGACGUUUAUUAUCAAUCUUGAGGUGUUGUAGUUGACAAGACCACUAACCACAGGCCUGUUGUUUGAUCAUAAAAUUACGUGUGCAUCAUGCAGUUGAAUGAGGUGAAGGAGGCAGCGCUGUUGUCGUGGAUCAACAGUGUUUAUCCUGAGGAGCCCUUUACCAAAAUUAUCCAGAUGAUGGACGGCCAUCGAGUUCUUAAGUUUGCCUACAGAGUGUGAGUUGUGAUGGUUAUGAUAGAAAUGCCCUUUUGUAACUUAUUUUAUAAUUCCCUCAGUGUUUCUGACAAUUGAAUCUCAAUGCAUCACAUUCAGAUUGACGUAAUAGUGACAGUAUCCCUAUUCUUUCUAACUACUUAACAAACGUGUAUAUUUUGCAUUAAAUGUUUUCCAAGUGUGUGUGUGUGUAUAUAUAAUAUAUAUAUAUAUAUAUAUAUAUAUAUAUAUAUAUAUAUAUAUAUAUAUAUAUAUAUAUAUAUAUAUAUAUAUAUAUAUAUAUAUAUAUAUAUAUAUAUAUAUAUAUAUAUAUAUAUAUAUAUAUAU